ACUCCUACGGGAGGCAGCAGUGGGGAAUAUUGCACAAUGGGGGAAACCCCUGAUGCAGCCUAUGCCGCGUGUGUGAAGUAAGGCCUUCGGGUUGUAAAGCACUUUCAGUAGGGAGGAAAGGUUGUACGUUAAUACCGUGCAGCUGUGACGUUACCUACAGAAGAAGCACCGGCUAACUCCGUGCCAGCAGCCGCGGUAAUACGGAGGGUGCAAAGCGUUAAUCGGAAUUACUGGGCUGUAAAGCGC
rnacentral:rRNA from 1 species